GACGAACGCUGGCGGCGUGCUUAACACAUGCAAGUCGAGCGGAGCGGCGAACGGGUGAGUAACGCGUGAGUAACUGCCCCCCUCUCUGGGAUAACAGUUGGAAAAGCCUGCAAAUAACGGAUAGUGGGGGAUGACUCGCGUCCUAUCAGCUUGUUGGUGGGGUAGUUGACUCCCAAGGCGACGACGGGUAGCAGGCCUGAGAGGGCGACCGGCCACAUAGGGCUGAGAGACUGCCCAAAGUCCUCCGGGAGGCAGAAGGGGGGAAUAUUGCACAAUGGGGGAAACCCAGAUGCAGCAACCCGAGUGCUGGAUGACGGUCUUCGGGUUGUAAACCGCUGUCAGCAAUAACGCGGAAGUGGCAGAAGAAGCACCGGCGAAAUACGUGCCAGCAGCCGCGGUAAUA
rnacentral:rRNA from 1 species